rnacentral:rRNA from 1 species
ACGUAGGGUGCAAGCGUUAAUCGGAAUUACUGGGCGUAAAGCGUGCGCAGGCGGUUUUGUAAGCCAGAUGUGAAAUCCCCGAGCUUAACUUGGGAACUGCGUUUGGAACUGCAAGACUAGAGUGUGUCAGAGGGGGGUAGAAUUCCACGUAGAGCGGCGAAAGGCGUAGAGAUGUGGAUGAGUCACGAUGGCGAAGAGAGCACCCAGGAUUAACACCGACGUUCAUCCACGUAAGUGUGGUGAGUAUGUAG